rnacentral:rRNA from 1 species
GAGUUUGAUCCUGGCUCAGGAUGAACGCUAGCGGCAGGCCUAACACAUGCAAGUCGAGGGGUAACAGAAAAGCUUGCUUUUGCUGACGACCGGCGCACGGGUGCGUAACGCGUAUGCAACCUACCUCAUACUGGAGGAUAGCCCCUGGAAACGGGGAUUAAUACUCCAUAGUAUCACAAUUUCGCAUGUUAUUGUGAUUAAAGUUUUUCGGUAUGAGAUGGGCAUGCGUCCCAUUAGCUUGUUGGUGAGGUAACGGCUCACCAAGGCAACGAUGGGUAGGGGGCCUGAGAGGGUGGUCCCCCACACUGGUACUGAGACACGGACCAGACUCCUACGGGAGGCAGCAGUGAGGAAUAUUGGUCAAUGGAGGAAACUCUGAACCAGCCAUGCCGCGUGAAGGAUGACGGCCCUAUGGGUUGUAAACUUCUUUUAUAGAGGAAGAAACUUGUCUACGUGUAGACAACUGACGGUACUCUACGAAUAAGGAUCGGCUAACUCCGUGCCAGCAUGCCGCGGUAAUACGGAGGAUCCAAGCGUUAUCCGGAUUCAUUGGGUUUAAAGGGUCCGUAGCAGAUUUUUAAGUCAGUGGUGAAAGCCGACAGCUCAACUGUCGAACUGCCAUUGAUACUGGAAAUCUUGAGUACAAAUGAAGUAGGCGGAAUGAGUCAUGUAGCGGUGAAAUGCAUAGAUAUGACUCAGAACACCGAUUGCGAAGGCAGCUUACUAACAUGUAACUGACGCUGAGGGACGAAAGCGUGGGGAGCGAACAGGAUUAGAUACCCUGGUAGUCCACGCCGUAAACGAUCAUCACUCGCUGUUGGCGAUAUACUGUCAGCGGCCAAGCGAAAGUAUUAAGUGAUGCACCUGGGGAGUACGCCGGCAACGGUGAAACUCAAAGGAAUUGACGGGGGCCGCACAAGCGGUGGAGCAUGUGGUUAAUUCGAUGAUACGCG